GGCCGUGUGGCUCAAUGGUAGAGCGUCUGACUACGGAUCAGACGGUUGCAGGUUCGAUCCCUGUCACGGUCA
rfam:Perkinsela sp. CCAP 1560/4 XT18scaffold_2, whole genome shotgun sequence.